GUUUGCCCACGCCUGGUGUAAAUGGUUCUAUUGAGAGCUGGGCCUCUAGUGAGGCGGUUGGGCCUGUUUAUGACGGCUCCCCCGGUUGCCUAGCAACCAAGGGGUCUGGAUGCUCACCGUUGGCCUGCCUGGACGGCGCCUCCUUCGGACGGAGCCGAGAUGGUGCCGGCGCUGCGCUCUCGGGGGCCGGCUGCCUCCGCCCGAAAGGGGGGCGAUGGGCUAUGGCCCCAGCGCCCCCAGGCCCCCCUGACGCGCUUCCCCGAGUGAGGGAGCGAGGGAGCGAGCCACUCAGCCGCCAUGAGCCGGAACCAGCCUCGCGCCCGCCUCGAGCCCCGCGAUUUAGAGGCACACGAUAGUAAAUUCCCAGAGAUUGCAAACCUUCAAGAAUCCGAACAUAUCACUUCUCAGCCACUGAAAGAACAAAAAUUGCCAAUGCUAACAUCUGACCACAGAUUUCUGGAUACCAAAGUCUCAGGAAAAUCAUCCAGCAGUUGUCCCUUUGAGAAUGGUUCAGAAAAUGCAUUGAUAAAGUCGAAAAGGAUAAAACAAGCUCUUCCAGUAAUGAUGAGCCCAGUUUGCCACCUUUGUAUUUGCUUCCACCUUCUUCAUCGAAGUAUUUUCUUGAAAGCUACUACAAAAGCAAAGAGAGAGGCAUGGGGGAUACGAAUAAAAGAGGGCCGGGUUCUUGGAAACUAGGCCCUCUGAAGACAUCAGGGAUGCGCGGUGGAGUGGGAGACUUAUCUGCUGUGAGGUGAGGCAGCUUGAGUUCUUAUCCAAUGAAAACUAAAUGAACAGUGUAGGUUUGGUAGAAUUAAUACAUACCCAAUAUUUUCAGAGCAAACUUGGAACUGUGCAUAAAAGAGGAAGUUCCAUUGAAUGAACAGAUAUCUG
rnacentral:lncRNA from 11 species